UUCGGAAGCUGAUUUUAAGCAUGGGAUUCUGGAUUCAGCUCAUUUGUCAGCAAGAUGAAAAUGUGGACCCUUGUAUUCUUUCCACAGAGCUUAUUGUCAGUUUGAGCCGAGAACAACUUGACUACAGGAUAUGGUUAAGGGCCCAGCGUCUGGCAAAGAGAACUGCCCAGAUCAGCUAUUUAACUGGAGAGCUGUGGCUCUGUGUUCGCAUGUGAGGCUCUUUGCAAACAUCAUCCCCACUUUUCAGAGGAG